AACAUCAGCCUUAUUCAAGCUUUUGCAUACGAACACUGGCCUAUCCCCGUCUCUUUAGCUUUCAUUUCCACAAAUAAUGAUUGAAUGGUGUUAUUAAGGCUGCCUUCCCAUUCCCAUUCACAUAUAUAUUUUUUAUCUGAGAAGCGUUUCCGUUUCCAUUCCCUUGUGUAUUUAGGUUCAUUCCAAUUCCCAUUUAUAUUUAGGUUCUCCUGUUUGAACUCUCCAUAGCUUUGGCGCGCUCAAGACUUCUUGCGCAAAAAUCUUCAUAUUGGGGCAUUCUAUAAUGAUCACUUCUUCCAAAGAUGGGAAACUGAAGGUAGAAUUACCAGAGCAGAAGCUAGAGAGGCUUGGUAGAUGUUGAAGUUCCAAACAUUUUAGUUGACCGAAGCAAAUCUCCUCUUCUUCAUCUUUAUCUGCUUCAGUCACUAUAAUUUCUUGGAUCAGUCCACAUUCCUCUAUCUUCAUUUUUCUAAGUCGUUCAAGACUUCUCGCUGUUGAGGAAGAUAUUAGAUUUACUAGACGUUGGCAAUUUGAUACCUCCAGUGUUUUGAGAUUUUGGAAAGAAACUGAGGAUGGCACUAAAAUUUCCAGUCUGCCACAUUC
rnacentral:misc_RNA from 1 species